UCUCCGUUGGUGAACCAGCGGAGGGAUCAUUACCGAGUUUACAACUCCCAAACCCCUGUGAACAUACCUAUCGUUGCCUCGGCGGUGCCCGCUCCGGCGGCCCGCCAGAGGACCCCCAAACUCUUGUUUUAUACAGUAUCUUCUGAGUAACACGAUUAAAUAAAUCAAAACUUUCAACAACGGAUCUCUUGGUUCUA
rnacentral:misc_RNA from 1 species